GAUGAACGCUGGCGGCGUGCAUAACACAUUCAAGUCGAACGGGCGAGGCGCUUCGGUGCCGAGCUAGUGGCGGACGGGUGAGUAACGCGUGAGCAACCUGCCUUCGAGUGUGGAAUAACAGUUGGAAACGACUGCUAAUACCGCAUGACGCAUGACUGUCGCAUGGCAGACAUGUUAAAGAUUUAUUGCUCGAAGAUGGGCUCGCGUCUGAUUAGAUAGUUGGUAAGGUAACGGCUUACCAAGUCUGCGAUCAGUAGCCGAACUGAGAGGUUGAACGGCCACAUUGGAACUGAGAAACGGUCCAGACUCCUACGGGAGGCAGCAGUGGGGAAUAUUGGGCAAUGGGCGAAAGCCUGACCCAGCGACGCCGCGUGAAGGAAGAAGGCCUUCGGGUUGUAAACUUCUUUUAGCAGGGACGAAGAACGUGACGGUACCUGCAGAAAAGCAACGGCUAACUACGUG
rnacentral:rRNA from 1 species